rnacentral:rRNA from 1 species
GAUGAACGCUAGCUACAGGCUUAACACAUGCAAGUCGAGGGGAAACGAUAUUGGAAGCUUGCUUCCGAUAGGCGUCGACCGGCGCACGGGUGAGUAACGCGUAUCCAACCUGCCCACCACUUGGGGAUAACCUUGCGAAAGUAAGACUAAUACCCAAUGAUAUCUCUAGAAGACAUCUGAAAGGGAUUAAAGAUUUAUCGGUGAUGGAUGGGGAUGCGUCUGAUUAGCUUGUUGGCGGGGUAACGGCCCACCAAGGCUGCGAUCAGUAGGGGUUCUGAGAGGAAGGUCCCCCACAUUGGAGCUGAGACACGGUCCAAACUCCUACGGGAGGCAGCAGUGAGGAAUAUUGGUCAAUGGGCGAGAGCCUGAACCAGCCAAGUAGCGUGCAGGAUGACGGCCCUAUGGGUUGUAAACUGCUUUUAUAAGGGAAUAAAGUGAGUCUCGUGAGACUUUUUGCAUGUACCUUAUGAAUAAGGACCGGCUAAUUCCGUGCCAGCCGCCGCAGUAA